AACGUAGGUGGCGAGCGUUGUCCGGAAUUACUGGGUGUAAAGGAGCGCAGGCGGAAUGGCAAGUUGGAUGCGAAAUCCAGGGGCUCAACCCCUGAACUGCAUUCAAAACUGCUGUUCUUGAGUGAUGUAGAGGCAAGGGGAAUUCCCGGUGUAGCGGUGGAAUGCGUAGAUAUCGGGAGGAACACCAGUGGCGAAGGCGGCUUGCUGGGCAUUUACUGACGCUGAGGCUCGAAAGUAUGGGGAGCAAACA
rnacentral:rRNA from 1 species